UACGGAGGAUGCGAGCGUUAUCCGGAUUUAUUGGGUUUAAAGGGUGCGUAGGCGGGCUUUUAAGUCAGCGGUAAAAAUUCGGGGCUCAACCCCGUCCGGCCGUUGAAACUGGGGGCCUUGAGUGGGCGAGAAGAAGGCGGAAUGCGUGGUGUAGCGGUGAAAUGCAUAGAUAUCACGCAGAACCCCGAUUGCGAAGGCGGCCUUCCGGCGCCCUACUGACGCUGAGGCACGAAAGUGCGGGGAUCGAACAGG
rnacentral:rRNA from 1 species